rnacentral:rRNA from 1 species
AGAGCGAACGCUGGCGGCAGGCCUAACACAUGCAAGUCGAGCGCCCCGCAAGGGGAGCGGCAGACGGGAGAGUAACACGUGGGAACGUACCCUUCAGUUCGGAACAACCCAGGGAAACUUGGGCUAAUACCGAAUAACGUCCGUAAGGAGAAAGAUUUAUCGCUGAAGGAUCGGCCCGCGUCUGAUUAGCUUGUUGGUGAGGUAACGGCUCACCAAGGCGACGAUCAGUAGCUGGUCUGAGAGGAUGAUCAGCCUCACUGGGACUGAGACACGGCCCAGACUCCUACGGGAGGCAGCAGUGGGGAAUAUGGACAAUGGGCGCAAGCCUGAUCCAGCCAUGCCGCGUGGGUGAUGAAGGCCCUAGGGUUGUAAAGCCCUUUCGGCGGGGAAGAUAAUGACGGUACCCGCAGAAGAAGCCCCGGCUAACUUCGCGCCAGCAGCCGC